rfam:Puccinia graminis f. sp. tritici CRL 75-36-700-3 supercont2.73 genomic scaffold, whole genome shotgun sequence.
GCAUCUGUAGCCUAGUUGGUAAAGGAAGCACUCUUGUAUGUGACUCAGCAUUGCUGAGGUUGUGAGUUCAAAUCUCACCAGGCACA